rnacentral:rRNA from 1 species
GAUGAACGCUGGCGGCGUGCCUAAUACAUGCAAGUCGAGCGAACGGACGAGAAGCUUGCUUUUCUGAUGUUAGCGGCGGACGGGUGAGUAACACGUGGAUAACCUACCUAUAAGACUGGGAUAACUUCGGGAAACCGGAGCUAAUACCGGAUAAUAUUUUGAACCGCAUGGUUCAAAAGUGAAAGACGGUCUUGCUGUCACUUAUAGAUGGAUCCGCGCUGCAUUAGCUAGUUGGUAAGGUAACGGCUUACCAAGGCAACGAUGCAUAGCCGACCUGAGAGGGUGAUCGGCCACACUGGAACUGAGACACGGUCCAGACUCCUACGGGAGGCAGCAGUAGGGAAUCUUCCGCAAUGGGCGAAAGCCUGACGGAGCAACGCCGCGUGAGUGAUGAAGGUCUUCGGAUCGUAAAACUCUGUUAUUAGGGAAGAACAUAUGUGUAAGUAACUGUGCACAUCUUGACGGUACCUAAUCAGAAAACCACGGCUAACUACGUG